rfam:Cucurbit aphid-borne yellows virus, complete genome
AGAACACUAGCCAAGCACACACGAGUUGCAAGCAUUGGAAGUCUGAGUCUCGUUACCA